CAGACAGUCAGGCUAAAUGAGAUCAAACACAGAUGUGCAAAAUUCCUCCUGUUGGGUGGUAUGUGCUCCAUGCUACUAUGGAAUAAAAAGGUUAGUGGCAGUGAUCAGGCAGCGAGGAGUUAAUCGGCAUCAUAAUGGCAGACGCAGGCAGAUUACUCAUUCUUGUGAAGAGCCUGCUCUGUCUAAACUUUUCAAUAAUUAUCAGGAGGGAGAGAGUGGCGUUAUUAAAAUUCAUGUGCACAGCUUGGUACUGCAGCAGAUGUUGGUAUAAUUAGAGAGGAAAAAAUUAUGAAAUUAAUUUCUGGUUCAGUGUAAAUUUCAGCGCUGGGGGAGAAGAGGAGAGCUCAACUCAUGUAUACAGAGAGUGUGGCACAAGGGAGCCAGUGCACACAUACAUACAGACACACACACUCACACACACACGCACACACUCACCAGCUGCCAGGGAAGCAGUAAUUGUCAGAAGAUAUCCAGGGGGAGAGAGAGAAAGAAAGAGAACCUGGCAUAAAAUAUUACCAUGUAUUAUUCAUCUGCUUAAAGGCACAGGCUGUGUAAAUGGGGAGAAAAGCCGUAUUUUAUGUAAAAGAAUGCCCAUGCGGGCAUAGUGAUGGAGAUUUUGGGAAUGGGGCACAUAUCAAUAAGCCUACCUGUUAAAUGAAUCGAGCAGGGAUACAGCUAUACAUAAGAG